rnacentral:rRNA from 1 species
AUGAACGGAUUGGUGUGGAAUUGUCGGGGAAUCGGCGGCUCCCGGACAGUUCGUGACCUUGUGACCCUCAAUCAAGUACACCAUCCUCGCUUUAUCUUCUUAUGUGAGACUAGACAAAGCAAAGAUAGAGUUCAGCGACUGCAUAACCGGCUUGGUCUGAAAGGCUUUGCUGGUGUGAGUAGUGAAGGGCUAAGUGGAGGAUUAGCCCUCUUCUGGGAUGAGCACUUGUAUGUGGAGAUAAAAGAGGCUAAUCAGAGAUACAUUGACGCACACAUUGGUACAGCUCCGGGCAAUGUGACAUGGCAAUUAACUUGUGUGUAUGGCGAGCCAGGGUGGAGAAUAGAUACCUUAUGUGGGAUAAAAUGCGGGAGCUUAAAGCAAAGUCAGACUUACCAUGGACUGUUGUUGGCGAUUUUAACGAGGCUAUCUGGCAGUUUGAGCACUUCUCCCUCACUCGCCGCGCCGAGAGCCAGAUGGAGGCCUUUCGUGGAGCUCUGGAUGAUUGUGCACUCACUGAUCUUGGAUUUAGAGGCGUCCCUUUCACUUAUGAUAACAAACGUGCCGGCAGAAAGAAUGUCAGAGUACGACUCGAUCGGGUCGUCGCGAAUGAUGUUUGGCGGGAUAUUUUUCCGGAUGCCUCGGUGGAACAUAUUGUAA